rnacentral:rRNA from 1 species
AUAACGCAUCGAAAGAUGUGCUAAUACCGCAUACGACCUACGGGAGAAAGCAGGGGACCUUCGGGCCUUGCGUUAGUGGAGCGGCCGACGUCUGAUUAGCUAGUUGGUGAGGUAAAGGCUCACCAAGGCGACGAUCAGUAGCUGGUCUGAGAGGAUGAUCAGCCACACUGGAACUGAGACACGGUCCAGACUCCUACGGGAGGCAGCAGUGGGGAAUUUUGGACAAUGGGCGCAAGCCUGAUCCAGCCAUUCCGCGUGAGUAAAGAAGGCCUUCGGGUUGUAAAGCUCUUUCAACAGGGAAGAAACGUUAUUGGUUAAUAACUGGUAAUAAUGACGGUACCUGUAGAAGAAGCACCGGCUAACUACGUGCCAGCAGCCGCGGUAAUACGUAGGGUGCGAGCGUUAAUCGGAAUUACUGGGCGUAAAGCGUGCGCAGGCGGUUUAUCAAGUCUGAUGUGAAAGCCCCGGGCUUAACCUGGGAACUGCGUUGGAAACUGAUAAACUAGAGUACGGCAGAGGGGGGUAGAAUUCCACGUGUAGCAGUGAAAUGCGUAGAUAUGUGGAGGAAUACCGAUGGCGAAGGCAGCCCCCUGGGUCGAUACUGAC